rnacentral:rRNA from 1 species
CAGAGGUCCCAAGCGUUGUUCGGAUUCACUGGGCGUAAAGGGUGCGUAGGUGGUUAGGUAAGUCCGAUGUGAAAUCUCCAGGCUCAACCUGGAAAUGGCAUUGGAUACUAUUUAGCUUGAGGAGUGGAGGGGGGACUGGAAUUCUCGGUGUAGCAGUGAAAUGCGUAGAUAUCGAGAGGAACACCAGUGGCGAAGGCGAGUCCCUGGACACUCCUGACACUGAGGCACGGAAAGCUAGGGGAGCAAACAGG